rnacentral:misc_RNA from 1 species
GAGAUUGGAAGAAGUAGAAUCAUUUAGAGGGUAACACAUUGUUCUUCAUCGUGAUUAUUGCUCUUCAUUCUUCUAAGUUUAAAUGAGAAGGAUUGUCCGGGUACUAUUGCUUGUACUGGUUUAUCAUUAACCUUGAUGAAAUUAUAGGACCAUGCUCCAAGUAAUGUUCCACAAACGGGUCCAAUGAUAUAAACCCAUAUUGCUCUGUAAUCAUUGCUAGCCAUUGCUGGUCCAAUGCUUCUAGCUGGGUUCAUUGAUCCUCCUGAUACUGGCCCCGCCAAAAUAGAAGUAAUACAUACGGCCGAACCAACUGCAAUUCCCGCCAGCUCACCAAUAGCUUUGGUAUCAGUGGCGACAGCAGAGGUGAUGAACAUCAUAGAGAAUGUGACGACAAUUUCCAUGAUUAAAGCUUGAAUAUCUGAGCCUGAGGGAGUUGUAGUUCCCACAUUUUUAGUUACUGGAUGAAGUAAUACACGUAACGUGAAUGCAGCAGAUAUUGCUCCUGUAACUUGUGCUGCUGCAUACACUGGCACCUGUGUCCAUGGGAAAUGUCUAACGGCGGCAAAAGCAAAGGUAACAGCAGGGUUCAUAUGAGCACCAGAUAUAUGUCCAACAGCAUAUAUCAUGACAGUUACAAUGAGUCCACCAGCUACGGACGCUCCAAGCUUUGAUACUUUGUGUUCAUCGCUCCAACUAAGACUUGCUGCACCACAUGUCACAAACACUAAUAGGUACGUCGCUAUUAUCUCUGCUAUCACCUUCUUUAUAAUACCAGAUCGAUAAUACUUUUGAAAAAAGUUUGAUUUCGGAUCUUCCUUCAAUACCAAUUCAUUUUGGUUUAUGCUUUUGCUACAGUUCCCUCCUUCACUCUCCAUUCUUCACAGAUACUUAAUGAAGUAUACACAAAUAUAUAAUUGAAAAUGUUUCUAAAG